rnacentral:piRNA from 1 species
UGGUGUUUAAGAACACAUGAGCUGGCAGG